GGCCAAAAUAAGGUGUAGGCAAAUUUCAGAUUUUUUAUAUGUACUGCAUUUUCACAAAUUAAAACAGUGACCUUGACAUUACCAGUCUAUGGGGGGAGUCAUGGAGAAGCCAAGCUUAAAUGAGAUUUCAAAAUUUUGUGGCCUUUGUUAACAUUUAAAAACCUGGUGCUUCUACUUGUGAAAGAACAUGUAGAGAUAAGGCCCAUCAGUUCAGGUAGAGAUAAUGAAAGAACAGAAGAAGGACUGAGCAAGAGGAGGAACUUCGUCGACCCAGCCGUGAGCAAAUGAUGCUCUGGCGAGUCGAUGAUGACCGUCAUGGAGAUCUGCCUGCGGGGCCUGACCAAGGAACCAACGCUGAAGCCGUUAGACGAGGACGUGCUCUGGAACCUGCAGUUUGCAGCCCUGGUGUAGGAUGACUGGAACAGUGAGGAGUCCCCGCUCUCAUCGUCGCAGAUCCGUGCACAAUCCGCAGAGUACUAACCUCUAGGAAGGCUGAGAAAAAAUAUUGGCAAGCAUUACCAUUAUGAUCCUCCAUCGAUCAUCAUUGUUGAAGGAAUUUAUGUUUCUCUUCAUAUAGGAUACAGAUAUGUGAUUCUCAUGUGAUCCUUUUGCUGGAAACUUGCUAAUCUUAGGGGUGUUGCUACUGGUGUAGAAACCGUUUUAUCAAAAGAACUAAAGUAGUAGCUAAUCCAAGCAUUGAAGAAUUGACCCAGAGGUUACGCUAUACUGGCACGAAGUCAGAGCAGC